rnacentral:rRNA from 1 species
ACUCGAGUGGCGAACGGGUGAGUAACACGUGGGUGAUCUGCCCUGCACUUCGGGAUAAGCCUGGGAAACUGGGUCUAAUACCGGAUAGGAGCCAUUUUUAGUGUGAUGGUUGGAAAGUUUUUCGGUGUAGGAUGAGCUCGCGGCCCAUCAGCUUGUUGGUGGGGUAAUGGCCUACCAAGGCGGCGACGGGUAGCCGGCCUGAGAGGGUGGACGGCCACAUUGGGACUGAGAUACGGCCCAG